CCUUAGAUGUUCUGGGCCGCACGCGCGCUACACUGAAGGAAUCAACGUGUGACAUCCCCUAGGCCGAAAGGUCCGGGUAACCCGUUGAACCUCCUUCGUGCUAGGGAUUGGGGCUUGCAAUUAUUCCCCAUGAACGAGGAAUUCCUAGUAAGUGCGAGUCAUAAACUCGUGUUGAUUAAGUCCCUGCCUUUUGUGCACACCGCCCGUCGCUACUACCGAUUGAACGAUUUAGUGAGGUCUUCAGACCUGAUCGCGA
rnacentral:rRNA from 1 species